GGAUGUGAGGGCGAUCUGGCUGCGACAUCUGUCACCCCAUUGAUCACCAGGGUUGAUUCGGCUGAUCUGGCUGGCUAGGUGAGUGUCCCCUUCCUCCCUCACUGCUCCAUGUGCGUCCCUCCUGAAGCUGCGCGCUCGGUCGAAGAGGUUGGCCACCCCUGAUAGAGGAGGACCGCUUCCUCGGUCAAGGGUAUACGAGUAGCUGGGCUCCCCUGCUAGAACCUCCAAAAAACCUCUCAAGGUUCCCAGAGGUACAAACCCAUACUGCUCUCUCUCCCAGCUUGAGCACAGGUGUUUGUCCAGAGCC
rnacentral:snRNA from 1 species